GGCAAGGCAGAGUGUUGGGCAUGAGACCAGAACUUAGAAUGGGGAACACUGGAAAAUGUUCUGACAGUUACUAAGGUCCUCUCACUGACUGGCUGACUUUCCUUCUGGCUAUUGGUAGAGGCAGACAUCUUAGACCUGUGCUGGUGAGAGGGAAAAAGAUCUCUGUAAACCAUCUAAAAAGGUUUUCUACUUUCCUGACCGAGAGAAGUCAUCUCUAAGAAGAAGCUGGUAGAUCUGUUUUGCUGGAGAACAAUUUGGAGAAAAAAAAGGCUGAAGACUGCCUGGACACUGGGCCAUACCAGGGUUACCUUAUUUUCAGUUAGCAACUGCCAUCUUGGCUGACUGAAAUUAUAUGUACUUGGAGAUAUCAUUAUCAAAUUAGUCAGAUUAAUGUUUUGGGGUUAUGUUUUUAUUUUUGUUUUGUAAGUGCUAGGCAGAUUUGGUGUAGCUGGAAGAACCAAAGGCUUUGUCAUGAGAUAAAUGUAGAAGAUAUCAUGAUUGCAACUCCUGCCUUCUUUCUAUCAGUUGAGGCCCAAAAGGACUUACUCCAACCUCUAAUUCUAACCUUAUGGAUGGUUCGUUUUGCAUGAUUUCACAUGUAUAAUUGAUAUAUUGCUUAUCUUCUCAAUGGAUGGAGU
rnacentral:lncRNA from 1 species